CGCCUCUCUCGGCAGCGCCUCAAGCCCUCAACAAAACCAUCCGGUGUGACCUACGCCCACGAUUCCAGCAAUCGGAUCGGGAAUCCUCCAGCCCUCGCCGCCUGCUGCCCCUCGUCUACCUCUCCCGCCGCCGCCGCCUCCCCAGUCCCCACCGACCCGCCACAGCCGUCGUCCCCGCGCCUCUCCUCUCUCCUCGUCCUCCUCCCAAACCUGCCCGCUCAGUCGCUCACCGGCGUCAUGUCCGGUCCGACCCCGACCCCGACCCCGACUCCACUCCCGCCGCCGCCGGCCGCUCGCCCCGCGCGGUACGACUUCCUCAACUCCAAGCCGCCGCCCAACUACGUCGCGGGUCUCGGCCGUGGCGCCACCGGGUUCACCACUCGCUCGGAUAUCGGGCCGGCCCGCGCGGCGCCCGACCUCCCCGACCGCUCCGCCUCCACUGCCGCGGCCCCAGCCGUCGGCCGCGGCCGCGGGAAGCCGCCAGGCGAGGACGACGGCGACGAUGACGGCGGCGACGAGGAGAAGGGGUACGACGAGAACCAGAAGUUCGACGAGUUCGAGGGCAACGACGCCGGGCUCUUCUCCAACGCCGACUACGACGACGACGACCGCGAGGCGGACGCGGUGUGGGAGAGCAUCGACCAGAGGAUGGACUCGCGCCGCAAGGACCGCCGCGAGGCGCGGUUGAAGCAGGAGAUUGAGAAGUACCGCGCGUCGAACCCUAAGAUCACCGAGCAGUUUGCUGAUCUGAAGAGGAAGCUGGCCGAUCUGUCCGCGCAGGAGUGGGAGAGCAUACCGGAGAUUGGGGACUAUUCGCUGCGCAACAAGAAGAAGCGGUUCGAGAGUUUUGUACCAGUGCCGGACACCCUUCUUGAGAAGGCCCGGCAGGAGCAGGAACAUGUCACGGCGCUUGAUCCCAAAAGCCGUGCUGCUGGUGGCACAGAGACGCCAUGGGCGCAGACUCCUGUUACCGAUCUUACAGCUGUGGGCGAGGGUCGUGGCACUGUGCUUUCGCUGAAGUUGGAUAGGCUGUCAGAUUCAGUUUCUGGGCUCACUGUUGUUGAUCCGAAGGGGUACUUGACAGACCUGAAAAGCAUGAAGAUUACUAGUGAUGCUGAGAUUUCUGACAUUAAGAAGGCACGACUCCUGCUGAAGUCAGUGACUCAGACAAACCCAAAGCACCCACCCGGUUGGAUUGCUGCUGCUAGGCUUGAAGAGAUUGCAGGCAAGCUUCAGGCUGCUCGGCAGCUCAUCCAGCGCGGCUGUGAGGAGUGUCCCAAGAACGAAGAUGUUUGGCUUGAGGCGUGCCGUUUGGCUAGCCCAGAUGAGGCAAAGGCUGUCAUUGCCAGGGGUGUUAUGUCAAUUCCAAAUUCUGUGAAGCUGUGGAUGCAGGCAGCAAAAUUAGAGACCAGUGAUCUGAAUAAGAGCAGGGUGUUGAGGAAAGGAUUGGAGCACAUUCCUGAUUCUGUGCGGCUGUGGAAGGCUGUAGUUGAGCUUGCGAAUGAGGAGGAUGCAAGGCUGUUGCUUCACAGGGCUGUGGAGUGUUGCCCACUGCAUGUUGAGCUGUGGCUUGCCCUUGCGAGGCUGGAGACCUAUGACCAAGCAAGGAAGGUACUUAAUAAGGCAAGGGAGAAGCUGCCCAAGGAGCCUGCCAUUUGGAUUACAGCUGCGAAGCUGGAGGAGGCUAACGGGAACACGCAAUCAGUUAGCAAGGUGAUUGAGAGAGGUAUCAGAUCUCUACAAAGAGAAGGAAUGGAUAUCGAUAGGGAGGCGUGGCUUAAAGAAGCAGAAGCUGCGGAGCGUGCUGGAUCUGUUUUGACUUGCCAGGCUAUUGUGAAGAACACAAUUGGCAUUGGUGUUGAUGAUGAGGAUCGGAAACGUACGUGGGUUGCUGAUGCUGAGGAAUGCAAGAAGCGUGGUUCAAUUGAAACAGCACGUGCCAUCUAUGCUCAUGCGCUUACUGUGUUCCUUACUAAGAAGAGUAUUUGGCUGAAAGCAGCUCAGCUUGAGAAGAGCCAUGGGACUAGGGAUUCACUUGAUGCGCUCCUCAAGAAGGCUGUUAACUACAAUCCACGUGCUGAAGUGCUAUGGCUAAUGGCUGCAAAGGAGAAAUGGUUGGCUGGGGAUGUGCCUGCUGCCCGAGCCAUUCUUCAAGAAGCUUACGCUGCUAUCCCUAAUUCAGAAGAGAUCUGGUUGGCUGCUUUCAAGCUUGAGUUUGAGAACAACGAACCAGAGAGAGCAAGAAUGCUUUUGGCUAAGGCCAGGGAAAGAGGAGGCACCGAGAGGGUUUGGAUGAAAUCUGCCAUUGUUGAAAGGGAGCUAGGGAAUGUGGGUGAGGAAAGGAGGUUGUUAGAGGAAGGUCUGAAGCUAUUCCCCUCAUUCUUCAAGUUGUGGUUAAUGCUCGGACAGAUGGAAGACCGCCUUGGUCAUGGAGCAAAGGCCAAGGAGGUUUAUGAGAAUGGCCUGAAGAACUGCCCGAGUUGCAUCCCUCUUUGGCUCUCGCUGGCCAGCUUAGAGGAGAAGAUCAGUGGCUUGAGCAAAUCGCGUGCUAUUCUCACAAUGGCAAGAAAGAAGAACCCAGCUCAACCUGAACUCUGGCUUGCAGCAAUUCGAGCUGAACUGAGGCAUGCGAACAAAAAGGAAGCUGAUGCUCUGCUGGCUAAGGCAUUACAAGAGUGUCCAACAAGUGGUAUUCUGUGGGCUGCCGCUAUUGAGAUGGCGCCACGCCCCCAACGUAAAGGGAAGAGUACAGAUGCUAUCAAGCGUUGUGAUCAUGAUCCACAUGUCAUUGCAACUGUGUCCAAACUCUUCUGGCUUGACAGGAAGGUUGACAAAGCUAGGAUUUGGUUUAACAGGGCUGUUACUCUUGCUCCUGAUAUUGGGGAUUUUUGGGCAUUGUACUAUAAAUUUGAACUUCAGCAUGGGAAUGCAGAGACACAAAAGGAUGUUCUGAAAAGAUGUGUUGCAGCAGAACCAAAACAUGGUGAAAAAUGGCAAGCGAUAAGCAAGGCUGUUGAGAACUCACAUCAGCCAGUUGAGGCUCUUCUGAAGAAAGCUGUCGUAGCUCUUGAUGCAGAUGAAACUCUCAAUGCUGGAGGCGCCUAGACUCCGAGAUAAUAUAUAUAUUUUUGUAAGAGAGAGAAGAAAGAGCUAGGCAGUGAGCUGGGUUUGGACUCAAUUGAUCAGCUUCUGUUGGUAGUGUCAGCCACCGACCUGAAUGUGCAACACGUUCGAGAGUGGAUGCUUAGGUUUAAAUCUUCUGCAUACUGACGUUGGAAUAGCUGAAGAAAGUAACAACAGUUUUGCGACUAAUUACUUUCUGCUGGGGGAUCAGCACCAGACUGAUUUCUGCUCAUCGCCUGAUAUGAGUUUGUAGCACUGCCCAAGACAGACAAGCUCUGUUGUUUGUCACAUUGCACGAGGAGAGCUUACUGUCAUGCGUCUAUCCAUCAAUUCAAUCUAGAACUUCUCUAUAUCGUUCCCUAUAAUCCGACUCCAUGCCACUAAAAUUCCGAGCGAAGAAUGAACAGGUAUCACUAACAAGUUGCAUAACUUUUGGAGGGCAUUAGAAGUUUCUGCUGCAA